AUAUUCUGUAGCAAGGUUAACCGUAUAGGGGAGCCGGAGGGAAACCGAGUCUUAACCGGGCGUUAAGUUGCAGGGUAUAGACCCGAAACCCGGUGAUCUAGCCAUGGGCAGGUUGAAGGUUGGGUAACACUAACUGGAGGACCGAACCGACUAAUGUUGAAAAAUUAGCGGAUGACCUGUGGCUGGGGGUGAAAGGCCAAUCAAACCGGGAGAUAGCUGGUUCUCCCCGAAAGCUAUUUAGGUAGCGCCUCGUGAAUUCAUCUCCGGGGGUAGAGCACUGUUUCGGCUAGGGGGCCAUCCCGGCUUACCAACCCGAUGCAAACUGCGAAUACCGGAGAAUGUUAUCACGGGAGACACACGGCGGGUGCUAACGUCCGUCGUGAAGAGGGAAACAACCCAGACCGCCAGCUAAGGUCCCAAAGUCAUGGUUAAGUGGGAAACGAUGUGGGAAGGCCCAGACAGCCAGGAUGUUGGCUUAGAAGCAGCCAUCAUUUAAAGAAAGCGUAAUAGCUCACUGGUCGAGUCGGCCUGCGCGGAAGAUGUAACGGGGCUAAACCAUGCACCGAAGCUGCGGCAGCGACGCUGAUGCGUUGUUGGGUAGGGGAGCGUUCUGUAAGCCUGCGAAGGUGGCCUGUGAGGGUUGCUGGAGGUAUCAGAAGUGCGAAUGCUGACAUAAGUAACGAUAAAGCGGGUGAAAAGCCCGCUCGCCGGAAGACCAAGGGUUCCUGUCCAACGUUAAUCGGGGCAGGGUGAGUCGACCCCUAAGGCGAGGCCGAAAGGCGUAGUCGAUGGGAAACGGGUUAAUAUUCCCGUACUUGGUGUUACUGCGAAGGGGGGACGGAGAAGGCUAUGUUGGCCGGGCGACGGUU
rnacentral:rRNA from 1 species